CACGCAGGCGGUUCUGUCGCGUUUCGAGUGACAGCGGGUGGCUUAACUGCCCGAGUAUUCGAAAGACGGCAGGACUUGAGGACCAGAGAGGGACACGGAAUUCCGGGUGGAGUGGUGAAAUGCGUAGAGAUCCGGAGGAACACCGAGGGCGAAGGCAGUGUCCUGGCUGGUAACUGACGCUGGGGUGCGAAAGCCAGGGGAGCGAACGGGAUUAGAGUACCCCGGUAGUCCUGGCCGUAAACGAUGACCCACCAGGUGUGGGAGGGAUCGACCCCUUCCGUGCCGGAGUUAACGACACUAAGUGGUCCGCCUGGGGAGUACGGUCGCAAGAUUAAA
rnacentral:rRNA from 1 species